rnacentral:rRNA from 1 species
UUAACCGAAUAGGGGAGCCGGAGGGAAACCGAGUCUUAAUUGGGCGUUAAGUUGCAGGGUAUAGACCCGAAACCCGGUGAUCUAGCCAUGGGCAGGUUGAAGGUUGGGUAACACUAACUGGAGGACCGAACCGACUAAUGUUGAAAAAUUAGCGGAUGACCUGUGGCUGGGGGUGAAAGGCCAAUCAAACCGGGAGAUAGCUGGUUCUCCCCGAAAGCUAUUUAGGUAGCGCCUCGUGAAUUCAUCUCCGGGGGUAGAGCACUGUUUCGGCUAGGGGGCCAUCCCGGCUUACCAACCCGAUGCAAACUGCGAAUACCGGAGAAUGUUAUCACGGGAGACACACGGCGGGUGCUAACGUCCGUCGUGAAGAGGGAAACAACCCAGACCGCCAGCUAAGGUCCCAAAGUCAUGGUUAAGUGGGAAACGAUGUGGGAAGGCCCAGACAGCCAGGAUGUUGGCUUAGAAGCAGCCAUCAUUUAAAGAAAGCGUAAUAGCUCACUGGUCGAGUCGGCCUGCGCGGAAGAUGUAACGGGGCUAAACCAUGCACCGAAGCUGCGGCAGCGACACUCAGGUGUUGUUGGGUAGGGGAGCGUUCUGUAAGCCUGCGAAGGUGGCCUGUGAGGGUUGCUGGAGGUAUCAGAAGUGCGAAUGCUGACAUAAGUAACGAUAAAGCGGGUGAAAAGCCCGCUCGCCGGAAGACCAAGGGUUCCUGUCCAACGUUAAUCGGGGCAGGGUGAGUCGACCCCUAAGGCGAGGCCGAAAGGCGUAGUCGAUGGGAAACGGGUUAAUAUUCCCGUACUUGGUGUUACUGCGAAGGGGGGACGGAGAAGGCUAUGUUGGCCGGGCGACGGUUGUCCCGGUUUAAGCGUGUAGGUGUGUGUUCCAGGUAAAUCCGGUUCACUUUAACACUGAGGCGUGACGACGAGGCACUACGGUGCUGAAGCAACAAAUGCCCUGCUUCCAGGAAAAGCCUCUAAGCAUCAGGUAACGUCAAAUCGUACCCCAAACCGACACAGGUGGUCAGGUAGAGAAUACCAAGGCGCUUGAGAGAACUCGGGUGAAGGAACUAGGCAAAAUGGUGCCGUAACUUCGGGAGAAGGCACGCUGACACGUAGGUGAAGUGAUUUACUCACGGAGCUGAAGUCAGUCGAAGAUACCAGCUGGCUGCAACUGUUUAUUAAAAACACAGCACUGUGCAAACACGAAAGUGGACGUAUACGGUGUGACGCCUGCCCGGUGCCGGAAGGUUAAUUGAUGGGGUCAGCGCAAGCGAAGCUCCUGAUCGAAGCCCCGGUAAACGGCGGCCGUAACUAUAACGGUCCUAAGGUAGCGAAAUUCCUUGUCGGGUAAGUUCCGACCUGCACGAAUGGCGUAAUGAUGGCCAGGCUGUCUCCACCCGAGACUCAGUGAAAUUGAACUCGCUGUGAAGAUGCAGUGUACCCGCGGCAAGACGGAAAGACCCCGUGAACCUUUACUAUAGCUUGACACUGAACAUUGAGCCUUGAUGUGUAGGAUAGGUGGGAGGCUUUGAAGUGUGGACGCCAGUCUGCAUGGAGCCGACCUUGAAAUACCACCCUUUAAUGUUUGAUGUUCUAACGUGGACCCGUGAUCCGGGUUGCGGACAGUGUCUGGUGGGUAGUUUGACUGGGGCGGUCUCCUCCUAAAGAGUAACGGAGGAGCACGAAGGUUGGCUAAUCCUGGUCGGACAUCAGGAGGUUAGUGCAAUGGCAUAAGCCAGCUUGACUGCGAGCGUGACGGCGCGAGCAGGUGCGAAAGCAGGUCAUAGUGAUCCGGUGGUUCUGAAUGGAAGGGCCAUCGCUCAACGGAUAAAAGGUACUCCGGGGAUAACAGGCUGAUACCGCCCAAGAGUUCAUAUCGACGGCGGUGUUUGGCACCUCGAUGUCGGCUCAUCACAUCCUGGGGCUGAAGUAGGUCCCAAGGGUAUGGCUGUUCGCCAUUUAAAGUGGUACGCGAGCUGGGUUUAGAACGUCGUGAGACAGUUCGGUCCCUAUCUGCCGUGGGCGCUGGAGAACUGAGGGGGGCUGCUCCUAGUACGAGAGGACCGGAGUGGACGCAUCACUGGUGUUCGGGUUGUCAUGCCAAUGGCACUGCCCGGUAGCUAAAUGCGGAAGAGAUAAGUGCUGAAAGCAUCUAAGCACGAAACUUGCCCCGAG